rnacentral:sRNA from 1 species
UUUAUAUUCUCCGCUGGGGGGAUGAGAACCCCCGACCGGGGUUCGACAACUGGCGACAGCCAGUUGGACAGACCACGAACACAGUGAGUGGGCUGCCCGUAGGGCGAGCGCAGCGAGUCAAUCCCCCCCUCACCGCCA